AGUGAACGCUGGCGGUAGGCCUAACACAUGCAAGUCGAACGGCAGCACAGUAAGAGCUUGCUCUUACGGGUGGCGAGUGGCGGACGGGUGAGGAAUACAUCGGAAUCUACUUUUUCGUGGGGGAUAACGUAGGGAAACUUACGCUAAUACCGCAUACGACCUACGGGUGAAAGCAGGGGAUCUUCGGACCUUGCGCGAUUGAAUAAGCCGAUGUCGGAUUAGCUAGUUGGCGGGGUAAAGGCCCACCAAGGCGACGAUCCGUAGCUGGUCUGAGAGGAUGGUCGGCCACACUGGAACUGAGACACGGUCCAGACUCCUACGGGAGGCAGCAGUGGGGAAUAUUGGACAAUGGGCGCAAGCCUGAUCCAGCCAUACCGCGUGGGUGAAGAAGGCCUUCGGGUUGUAAAGCCCUUUUGUUGGGAAAGAAAAGCAGCAGGUUAAUACCCCGCUGUUCUGACGGUACCCAAAGAAUAAGCACCGGCUAACUUCGUG
rnacentral:rRNA from 1 species